rnacentral:lncRNA from 1 species
GGCGGGAAGAAGAAGGGUUCCACCUUCGUCAUCGAUUGCGCGAAGCCGGUGGAGGACAAGAUCAUGGACAUCGCCUCCCUGGAGAAGUUCCUCCAGGAGAGGAUCAAGGUGGCAGGCGGCAAGGCCGGCGCACUCGGCGACGCCGUAACCGUCACCCGCGACAAGAGCAAGAUCACCGUCACCUCCGAGGGUCCCUUCUCGAAGCGGUAAUACCUUGUCUCGUUUCCGGUGGAUAUUCUUUAUUGGCUCUAAUUCAGUUAUCUGGAUCAUGGAUUCUUGGUAUGGCGUUGUAAUUUAGUGCAAAUGAGGUUUUACAUGAUUAGUUGCUGCG